ACUGCUGGCAGGAAUGGCCUGUCAGGACUGACUGUUUGGGGAUGGGUGUCUAGCCACAGCCCAGCCAAGGAGAACGAACUGGGAGAGGAUCAACACGUCUUCGUAAAUGGGGUUAAUCCUCAGAUACAGACCAUGAUCGAGGUGAAGCAAGAAGUAUCAUGACUUCAAGCAAUGUGUGACGGCAAAGGCAAUGUAGAACACCCAGAGUGGGCAGAGGACUGGAGAAGGAGGAAAAGUCCCUAUCACUUAGCAAUUUAUCAUCCAUGAAAACAAGAUUGUAGAAGAAGCAAGCCUGUUAUCAUGGACUUCAAAAUGGAGGAUUCUGGUCAAGGGAUUGAUGCACAUCAAGAAAACACAGAUAUCCCAAAUCAUUUUUAGUUGCAUACGCAGCCCACAGAACUAUCCAAGCGGCAUCCUGUCUGCAGACACCAGGGCAGCUACUUCCACACUACAGUUUGAUGAGGGAGGUUUGGGUCAUGCACUGGGUUUGCACAGCGUACAGAUGUUAUGGGCAAUGAAUGUCUGAAAAUAGCAAGGAAGGGAGCUUUGCUGCCAGUGAAGGUGUCCACCAGGACCUUUUACCCUAAAGUGUGGAAGAGCUGGCAAUUGAUAUCCCAGCUCUGAAAACCUGUUUGCUCCAUCACUUUAACUUGACUGAAGUCCAGCUAGUAAGUUUGAUUGAAGAUGUUGAGGUACGCAAGCUAUAGAGAAAUCCAACACAAAGCGGCUGCAAAACCUAACUUGUACCCUGGACAAAGCAAUACAGACAAAGGCACCUUCUAACCUCGGAUACUGCUGCUUGUAAUUAAUCUUUUGAGUUGCAAUUGGAAAGCUCGAUAGGGGUAGGUUUCACAUCUCUCCGGAAUGUCCUGCAGUCUGUGACAAUGAGCGGUUCUACUUCUCUGCUGGACCCUCUGCUCUGCAGCUGCAAGGUGAAACGCCAACAGAAAGACCUUCAGCUAACGGAGCAGGGCCAUAGCUACCUCUUGAUGUCUGACCUUUGGUAGUUCCAGAGCUCAAUUCACUCCCCUCCCCUGGGCCUUAGCAAUCGGAUAGCCAGAGGAACCAAAGCACAAAGGAAGAGUUCAUGGGUAAGAAGUAGAAAGAGAAAGCACCUUAGCACUCGUACGUAUAUACAAUAAACAUUUAUUGCACCA